rnacentral:rRNA from 1 species
GAUGAACGCUGGCGGCGUGCCUAAUACAUGCAAGUCGAGCGAACGGACGAGAAGCUUGCUUCUCUGAUGUUAGCGGCGGACGGGUGAGUAACACGUGGAUAACCUACCUAUAAGACUGGGAUAACUUCGGGAAACCGGAGCUAAUACCGGAUGAUAUUUUGAACCGCAUGGUUCAAAAGUGAAAGACGGUCUUGCUGUCACUUAUAGAUGGAUCCGCGCUGCAUUAGCUAGUUGGUAAGGUAAUGGCUUACCAAGGCAACGAUGCAUAGCCGACCUGAGAGGGUGAUCGGCCACACUGGAACUGGGACACGGUCCAGACUCCUACGGGAGGCAGCAGUAGGGAAUCUUCCGCAAUGGGCGAAAGCCUGACGGAGCAACGCCGCGUGAGUGAUGAAGGUCUUCGGAUCGUAAAACUCUGUUAUUAGGGAAGAACAUAUGUGUAAGUAACUGUGCACAUCUUGACGGUACCUAAUCAGAAAGCCACGGCUAACUACGUG